AUUGAACGCUGGCGGCAUGCCUUACACAUGCAAGUCGAACGGUAACGGGCCUUCGGGUGCCGACGAGUGGCGAACGGGUGAGUAAUGUAUCGGAACGUACCAUUCAGUGGGGGAUAACGCAGCGAAAGUUGCGCUAAUACCGCAUAUUCUGUGAGCAGGAAAGCAGGGGAUCGAAAGACCUUGCGCUGAUUGAGCGGCCGAUAUCAGAUUAGCUAGUUGGUGAGGUAAAGGCUCACCAAGGCGACGAUCUGUAGCGGGUCUGAGAGGAUGAUCCGCCACACUGGAACUGAGACACGGUCCAGACUCCUACGGGAGGCAGCAGUGGGGAAUUUUGGACAAUGGGGGCAACCCUGAUCCAGCCAUGCCGCGUGAGUGAAGAAGGCCUUCGGGUUGUAAAGCUCUUUCGGCCGGGAAGAAAUCGUAUCAGCUAAUACCUGGUGCGGAUGACGGUACCGGCAUAAGAAGCACCGGCUAACUACGUGCCAGCCGCCGCGGUAACAC
rnacentral:rRNA from 1 species